UGAAUCCGAGACGCUACGGCGUCGAAGCAGUCGAUGUCAUACUUCCAAGAAAAGCUCGCACUGUCGUGAACAAAAGAAUGCCUGUACCAUAACCGACACAGGUGGGUAGGUAGAGUAUACUAAGGGGCGCGAGAUAACUCUCUCUAAGGAACUCGGCAAAAUGACUCCGUAACUUCGGGAGAAGGAGUGCCUUAAGAAAUUAAGGUUGCAAUAACAAGAUCCAAGCAACUGUUUAUCAAAAACACAGGUCUCCGCUAAGUCGUAAGACGAUGUAUGGGGGCUGACGCCUGCCCAGUGCCAGAAGGUUAAAGAAGUCGGUUAGCAUUCGCGAAGCUGGUAACUGAAGCCCUGGUGAACGGCGGCCGUAACGAUAACGGUCCUAAGGUAGCGAAAUUCCUUGUCGGGUAAGUUCCGACCCGCACGAAAGGCGUAAUGAUUUGGAUUCUGUCUCGGAGAGGGACUCGGUGAAAUAGACUUGUCUGUGAAGAUGCGGACUACCUGCACCUGGACAGAAAGACCCUAUGAAGCUUUACUGUAACUUGAAAUUGAAAUUGGACUUUCCUUGCGCAGGAUAGGUGGGAGGCCUUGAGAAUUUUCUUGCGGGAAGAUUGGAGCCAUCGGUGAGAUACCACUCUUGGAAUGUUAGAUUUCUAACUUUGGAUCAUUAUCUGGUCAAAGAACAGUUUCAGGCGGGCAGUUUGACUGGGGCGGUCGCCUCCUAAAUGGUAACGGAGGCGCACAAAGGUUUCCUCUGAACGGGUAGAAAUCGUAUCUAGAGUGUAAAGGCAUAAGGAAGCUUGACUGGGAGACCUACAAGUCGAGCAGGGACGAAAGUCGGUCUUAGUGAUCUGACGGUGCUGAGUGGAAAGGCCGUCACUCAACGGAUAAAAGUUACUCUAGGAUAACAGGCUGAUCUCCCCCAAGAGUUCACAUCGACGGGGAGGUUUGGCACCUCGAUGUCGGCUCAUCGCAUCCUGGGGCGGUAGUACGUCCCAAGGGUUGGGCUGUUCGCCCAUGAAAGCGGUACGCGAGCUGGGUUCAGAACGUCGUGAGACAGUUCGGUCCAUAUCCGGUGUAGGCGUUAGAAUAUUGAGAGGAGCCUUCUUUAGUACGAGAGGAUCGAGAAGGAUAUACCUCUGGUGUACCAGUUAUCGCGCCAACGGUAAACGCUGGGUAGCCAUGUAUGGAGAGGAUAACCGCUGAAAGCAUCUAAGUGGGAAGC
rnacentral:rRNA from 1 species